rnacentral:rRNA from 1 species
GCUUGUCUCAAAGAUUAAGCCAUGCAUAUCUAAGAAUAACUAACAUUAUCUUGAAUCUGUGAAUGGCUCAUUAUAUCAGUUAUAGUUUACAUGAUAGUCAAUACUACUUGGAUAACCGUAGUAAUUCUAGAGCUAAUACAUGCGCCAAGUCCCGUCUUACGUCGGGAUGUAUUUAUUAGAUUUCAAUCAACACUUUUUGCUGACUCAUGAUAACUUAGCGGAUCGCAGAGGCCUCGCGCCGGCGACAAAUCAUUCAAGUUUCUGCCCUAUCAGCUUUCGAUGGUAGUGUAUUGGACUACCAUGGCAUUCACGGGUAACGGAGGAUUAGGGUUCGAUUCCGGAGAGGGAGCCUGAGAAAUGGCUACCACAUCCAAGGAAGGCAGCAGG